rnacentral:lncRNA from 1 species
UCGAGUCCUAUGUGAAGUGAAUGUUAUUUCGAGUCCUAUGUGAAGUGAAUGUUAUUUCGAGUCUUAUGUGAAGUGAAUGUUAUUUCGAGUCUUAUGUGAAGUGAAUGUUAUUUCGAGUCCUAUUUGAAGUGAAUGUUAUUGAGCCCUAUGUUUAAUUAUGGAUCGAGUCUUAUGUGAAACGAAUGUUUUUGAGCCCUGUGUGAAGUAAGUGAGUCUUAUCUGUAUGAGUGGAAAUUGAGUCUUAUGUGAAGUGUAGAAUGAGUCUUAUGUGAAGUAAACCUUGAGUCUUAUGUGAAUUGAGCCCUAUCUAUGUGAAUG